UCUCCUAUAGCUCAAUUGGUAGGGCGUGCGGCUGUUAACCUCAAGGUCGCUGGUUCAAACCCAUCUUGGAANN
rfam:Plasmopara halstedii genome assembly, contig: Scaffold_323